rnacentral:rRNA from 1 species
CUUGGUCAUUUAGAGGAAGUAAAAGUCGUAACAAGGUCUCCGUAGGUGAACCUGCGGAGGGAUCAUUACCGAGUGAAGGGCCUCACGGCCCGACCUCCAACCCUUUGAUUACCGUCCAUCGUUGCCUCGGGGGAUUGCCUCGCGGCGCCCCCGGAGGACCACACAACUCUGCAUCUUUGCGUCGAGUAAACGAGAAAAUAAAUUAAAACUUUUAACAACGGAUCUCUUGGUUCUGGCAUCGAUGAAGAACGCAGCGAAAUGCGAUAAGUAAUGUGAAUUGCAGAAUUCAGUGAAUCAUCGAAUCUUUGAACGCACAUUGCGCCCCUUGGUAUUCCGGGGGGCAUGCCCGUUCGAGCGUCAUUUCACCACACAAGCCUGGCUUGGUAUUGGGCCCCGGGGGUGACCCGGGCCUCAAAGUCGUCGGCCGGACCGCCCGAAUCUCAGCGUCGUGAAUCAAUUCGCUCGUGGUCGGGGGAUCGUGCCGGAAAAUCGAUGGAGACAUCACAAGGUUGACCUCGGAUCGGGUAGGGAUACCCGCUGAACUUAAGCAUAUCAAUAAGCGGAGGA